UACGUAGGGCGCAAGCGUUGUCCGGAAUUAUUGGGCGUAAAGAGCUCGUAGGCGGUCUGUCGCGUCUGGUGUGAAAUCCCAUGGCUCAACUGUGGGCUUGUAUCGGAGUACGGGCAGACUAGAGUGCUGUAGGGGAGACUGGAAUUCCUGGUGUAGCGGUGGAAUGCGCAGAUAUCAGGAAGAACACCGAUGGCGAAGGCAGCUCUCUGGGACGGUACUGACGCUCAUGCACGAAAGCGUGGGGAGCAAACAGG
rnacentral:rRNA from 1 species